rnacentral:ncRNA from 1 species
CACGAAAAAGGUAAACCCUGAGUGAUCAGGGGACGCAAAGUAGUGGGUCUUUAGUAAAUAAGCAUUUAUCCCAGAGAUUAGUUUAUAAAGACAGCCUUACUGCCGAAG